GACGAACGCUGGCGGCGUGCUUAACACAUGCGAGUCGAACGGAAAGGCCCUUCGGGGUCCUCGAGUGGCGAACGGGUGAGUAACACGUGGGUGAUCUGCCCUGCACUUUGGGAUAAGCCUGGGAAACUGGGUCUAAUACCGAAUAUGAUCAUCGGCUUCAUGGUCGGUGGUGGAAAGCUUUUGCGGUGUGGGAUGGGCCCGCGGCCUAUCAGCUUGUUGGUGGGGUAAUGGCCUACCAAGGCGACGACGGGUAGCCGGCCUGAGAGGGUGACCGGCCACACUGGGACUGAGAUACGGCCCAGACUCCUACGGGAGGCAGCAGUGGGGAAUAUUGCACAAUGGGCGCAAGCCUGAUGCAGCGACGCCGCGUGAGGGAUGACGGCCUUCGGGUUGUAAACCUCUUUCAGCACAGACGAAGCGCAAGUGACGGUAUGUGCAGAAGAAGGACCGGCCAACUACGUG
rnacentral:rRNA from 1 species